rnacentral:tRNA from 1 species
AAAAAUUUAGUUAAAUCUAUAACAUCAAUUUGUCAAAUUGAAAUUAAUAUUAAAAUUAAUUUUUU